UAUUAGUCGAACAGAUAUUUUAAUUUUUAAAUUCGGGAUGGAGAUUUGAUCUCCCAUACGGAUGCAAUAUAGGGAUCUAACCUUAAGAAGUGGCUUGGAGCUAUUAAACUUGAAAUGAAGUCCAUGAAGAUCGGCGAUGUAUGGACAUUCAUUGAUUUACCUGAAUGGGUAAGACUCAUAAGGUGUAAGUUGAUUUUAAAAUGGAUAAGGGGCGC
rnacentral:lncRNA from 1 species